rnacentral:rRNA from 1 species
GACGAACGCUGGCGGCGUGCCUAAUACAUGCAAGUCGAACGCUUCUUUCCUCCCGAGUGCUUGCACUCAAUUGGAAAGAGGAGUGGCGGACGGGUGAGUAACACGUGGGUAACCUACCCAUCAGAGGGGGAUAACACUUGGAAACAGGUGCUAAUACCGCAUAACAGUUUAUGCCGCAUGGCAUAAGAGUGAAAGGCGCUUUCGGGUGUCGCUGAUGGAUGGACCCGCGGUGCAUUAGCUAGUUGGUGAGGUAACGGCUCACCAAGGCCACGAUGCAUAGCCGACCUGAGAGGGUGAUCGGCCACACUGGGACUGAGACACGGCCCAGACUCCUACGGGAGGCAGCAGUAGGGAAUCUUCGGCAAUGGACGAAAGUCUGCCCGAGCAACGCCGCGUGAGUGAAGAAGGUUUUCGGAUCGUAAAACUCUGUUGUUAGGGAAGAACAAGGACGUUAGUAACUGAACGUCCCCUGACGGUAUCUAACCAGAAAGCCACGGCUAACUACGUG